GCCUCAGGCCCGGAGCCCGGGGGGAGGGGAGCGGGGCCGGGAGCCUCCGGGCGGGGCGGGGGCUCCGUGACAGCCGGGAGGGGCGGAGGUUCGCUGACAGCGGGGAGGAGGGCGGCGGACCGCGAGCUGCCCCCGCUGACAGCAGCGCGGCCUGCACGGAGGCCCCGCUCCGCCCCGCUGCCCGGGCUGCUCGAGGCCGGGCCCGGCGCUGACAGCCGCCUUCAGAGCGGUGCGGCGCGGCGGCCCCGCGGGACCCGUCGGCGUUCCGCUCCCCGGGGGCUGCCGGGAAGUUUCCCG
rnacentral:lncRNA from 1 species